CCUCCACUUUCUCACAAUUCUCACCCUCUCUAACUCUCUCUCAGUUUCUCCGACCCAUUUCUGCAUUUCUUUUUUGUGCCCUAUGAUAUCUGCUUGGGUCAUGAAUAAGGUUGAUGACGGGUCGUCUCCAAUCGGGUCGGAGUCUUAUCGGACUCCGUCUCCGUUUAAUCGGAGCAAUUCGUCUAUUUGCUUCCGACUGCGCAGAGCUGCUGCCCCUGCCCUAAAAUCCCAACCCAGAUUUCUCGAUGACGUGGCCGUCAAUCUCAGUAGGGUUUUCGUACUCUCUGUCCAAGAUUCCGAGUUUGUUCUCGAGGCCCUCAGGACAGAACGCGAAAAAUUCGCAAAAGAAUUGCAACGCCAGAAGAUCCGUACUCUAAUGUCCAUGCGGUGAUCUUCUGGCUUACAUUUUCUAUUUUUGAUUUUUUUUCUUUCUAUUUCUUAAUCCUUCUUUGUGUUUGGGGUAUGUGUUGGGUAUGUGUUUUUGCAUGUUAGGUUACUAACCCAACAACGAUCCAAUUGAACAGGUAAGAAUCGAAAUUACAAUUACCAAUUUAAGUGUUCUUAUUUAGUUAAUUGCCGGUACUCCUGUAGGUAUUGGCACCAUUGAGUGCCAGAAAAAACAUAGUUACAUAAUAACAUGCUUUUGGGGCUUUAAGAGAUGUUGGAUUCAAUUUGCUGAGAUAUCCAAAGAUAAAGUUUCAAUAUUUUACUAAUCUUCUGCUAUAGAUUGUUCAAAUAGAUUGCUCUUGCAUUGGCAUCUUGAGAAAUCUGAGAGACAAUGUGCUCUAACGGGGAAUAGUUUCAAUAUUAUCUAUUAGUAGUUUAGUAUUAUUGAUCUUCAUUAUGUGUUUAUUGCUGCGAGGUAUUCAUUGGAUUCGUUUAUUGCCUGUUGUUUUCGUUUAAUUAUGAUUGCAUACUUGCUAUAUCACACUAUCUCUGUCUGUUCCUUAUUCCCUUGUGUAGAACUCAUGGAAUCAGUGGGGUUUGUUCAUUGUUCACUUUUCUCGUUAGUUUGUUGUCAAUGUGGCAGGCAUAUGGCAGGUUCUUGGAAGAGCCAUAUUCAUUCAAUGGUAGGUACAAGUGGAUAUGUGGAACAAGAACUUCUCUUGGGGACACAAUAAGGAGAAAAGAAAGAUUGAUCUUGUUUAAUGGAAUUCCGUUUGCAGACCAAAUUGUCAUGUUGGUUUAUGCUAGGCCUAAAGAAUACUACUAUGAUGAAGCAGGCUUAGUAUGCUGGGUCUAGUUGGGUAGGCCUUUGCAAAAUUAAAAGGCCUCUAGGAUCAACUUUUAAACGGGAAGUGUACGAAAAAGCAGAGGCAUUCUUGCCUUUACAGAUCUGAAUUUCUAUAAGCUCAAGUACCUAGUGUUUGGAUUCAUUACUAAGCCUUUACCUGGAGGCCUUAAAUGGAUAGGUGAGAGUUGGAGGAUAAUUACUUUAUUUGACAGGUAUAGGUGCCUUUAUCUCAAUUUGCCACUACUAUAAAUCAAUAUUUCUGAGUUUCUGGCACAAUGCUAGCUGGGAUUUACAAAUGAUUCAGGAGCUCCUCUCUGAUGACAUCAUUGUAAAAUAUUGGGUAUUGAAUGCUGGUGGCCCAACUAGAGUUUACUUGGGGUUUAUCUUCUAAGGGUAGUUUCCGUAAGUUAAGCCUACAAAUGUCCUGUUAUAAAUGUGCUGUAUUGGAAAUGCUAUUUUAUUUGGCAUUUGCAGCUUCACCCCAAGUUUAAAACUUUCUCUACCAAUAUAGAUUGUUGAAUUUUAAAGCUAGAAUGCAAAGAGGGUUGGCUUGUGAUGCUAUUUGUCUCAGAUGCUGCUCCAACUGAAUCGCUCGAUCAUCUUUUAAAGAGCUGCAGUGUGUCUAUGAGAACUAGGGAUUUCCAUGGUGAAAAAUGAUUUUACUAGAUUCACGUCUCUUGAUUUUUGGGAUGGGUUAUAUCACAAUUUCAAGUCCAAGUCUACUGAGAAGUAUGAAUUCCUUUGUAUUGUUUAUUUCCUGCAGUUUCUGGCAUAUAUGGGAGUGGCGUUGCAAGAUCAUUUUUGAGCCGGGUUCCACCACCCUUCUUGGUGUAAUCAUUUGAGUUACCAAUAUGCUUCUUCUUAGAUGGUGGCCUUUAAAGUGACUUGGGUCUUAUGUUUGCCGGUGGUAGCCUUAGACAUGAUUCUGGUGUUUGGCUUCAACGUUUUCCUGUGAAUUUAGGCCUUUGUCCCUUAAACUUAAUAUCAGUUCAAUUGAAUUCUAAAAAAAAAAAGGUUCUUGAAGUAGGUAAAUGCCGUUUAUAUAAGGUUCUUAUUUGGCUUUGGAGGUAGAGUUGAUUCUUGCACUGUUGUGAAUCUGCUUUUGAGUCCCUGGAUUAUAUUCACUCUCUUUCAGUAAAGCCACAUACCCCUUUCUCUUGAAAACCAAGGACAGGAACUAAUCGCAUGGGUACUUAAGAACAUACACUUACGGCUUGGAAGGUGGUUAACAGUUUCUGGUUGGACCAAUCUUGUGCAAUCUCAAGGCGUUAAUGAGUAGGGAUUAGAUCAUGUAAUCAUGUUCUAUUUUAGAAAGAAAAACAGCGAAUGUCUGGCUAUUUCAGGCCAUAGCCUUGGGGUAUCCAGUUUUUGCCUCUCCAUUUGAGUUUAAUUUUUUUUUUGUUUUUGUUUUUGUUUUUUUUUUUUGCUUUGACCUUCGAGCCAAUUAUCCGGCACAAAGGGGAUUAUUUAGAGUGAGCAAGUUUCUUUUUUUUUGGGUCAAAGAUAUUCAUUGAAAAGAGGGCAAACAGCCCAGCCAUACAACAACAGAAAGCCAAAAGGCUAAACUGAAGAGAAACAGAGCUCUCAUAGUCAAAGCCACAGGAGGCAAGACAAGAGGAACUACGAAUAGACGCAACAAACAAAACAAGCCUAAAGAAAAGCAAGACAUAAAGGAAAGCAAGAACGCAAAUUAAAGGAAGACAUCAGAAGCUUCGUCAGACAGCCAACGCAGCAGCGUCCCUCAAGCAGGGAGCACAUGUCUUGGGGCACCUGGAACUCCAAAAUUGCAGCUUGUAAGGAGACCCCUACGCCAAAGCCCGAUCAAAAUAACCCUGAAAAUGGAAAAACAGAAGAAAAAAGAGGAUCUAACCACAGAUAUAUCCUCUUCUCCACAGUACAAAUUUGCACCAUAACAUGAGAUUUGCAGCCACAACUUUGAUAACAAAUCUAGGCAAACGAAACCCAGAUCAGGAGGAGCCAAGAGGCCCCAAAAAUAGAACAUAGAAGUAGGUGGUGCAUGCACCCGAGCCAAGGCUCUACCUAUCUUCCGAUUGAGACGCGAGAAAUCGCGUUUGAGAGAAGCCACUGCAACAACCAAGCCAUGGUACCGAUUUGAAAUGGAAUAGAAGAAAUCCAGGGAACAAGAUCUGGAGAUGAGAGAUGGUGGGUAAAAGAAAGUGAUGGGUGGUGAGGUAGAGCAAAUUUGGGGUUAAAGUGCAGAAAGAAAAUUGGGGCAAGAUGGAAGGAGAAGGGAGGGAGACCGAAGGAGAAAAAAAGAGAAGAAACAAGAGGCAGAAGCCCCAGAUCUGAGACAUAGCUCAGGGAAACUGAGACAUAGCUCAGGGAAGCACCCAUAAAGGGUGAGCAGUGCCACCGACUCUCAAGGAAGAAAAGCUCUCCCAGCGCUAACUUGAGCUUUUUGUCUCGUAAAGUUUCUUUGUUAAUUAAGAUAUUUUCACAAACAGUGUAUGAAGUAUGGAUGAUUCUACACUUUGGUGUAUGAACUUUGAAAACUAUCAAAUUGCUGUAUGAACUUUGCAUUUCAACAUCAUUUUGGUAUAUCAAGUUAACACCGUUAAGUUUUGCCGUUAAAUUGGACGAUAAAAUAAAAGAUACGUCCAUGCAAAACAAUCCCAAAUAAAAACUAGCCGUUCAAUAAUUUUUUGAAAGAAUCUAGUAUUUCAUUUUGAUCAUUGAUUUUUCUACUAACACUUGUUAGCUGGUCUUCUUCAUUUUUUGGAAGAUUCUUGAUAUAAUAGUUUUUUUUUUCUUUUUGUUAAACGCUAGAUAGUUCUUUUAAUAAGUUCUGAUGUUUUUCAUCAGAAAGUUUUAAUAGAGAAUUUGAUUUCUCUAUUAUUAUUUCAGACAUUGUUCCCAUGAGGGAUUCUCUUUGAGGCUUUAAGCAGGCUCUGAUACUAACUUAGUCGGAUCUAACCAAUGCUCAAUUAAUCAAGAGGUUUUUGUUCCUCUUCAAAAGUUUCUUUAAUAAUUUUGAUAUAUUCUUCAACUUUGUAGAUUCUUUUUUGAAUCCGGAAAAUAAUAUUUCAAUUUUUGGGAGUUUUUCUAUCAAGCCUUUAUCUAAAAUCUUUUAGAGUUUUUAACCUUUUUCUUUCUUCUGACAAUUCUUGGCUUGUUUCUUUGCAAAUAGUAAGCAGCUCUUUUCUAGUAAGGAUAGAAAUUAUGAAUAUUAAAACUUAACUAUUUACCUUCGAGUAUUGAGGAUAAAUCUAAAACUGCAAUAUGUCAAAUAAACAAAUUCAGGAGUAUGGGCCCAUUACGCUCUGUCAAAUUUUUUUUUUUGGUAACUGUUCUAGGGGUUAUUUAACAGAAAAGUUAACGGUGUACACUAAAGUGAAAGAUCUGAGUAAACUUGGUAUACCAUUAUGAUAGUUAUGAAAGUUGGUAUACUGAAGUGUAGAAUUGUCAAUAGUUGGUGCAUGGUUUGUGAUGUUUUCCCUUGUUAAUUUUAUCCGUUGUGGAUGCAAGUAAGGUAACAGGAAGCUUUCAAGUUUUUACGCCCCCGUGCUCCUUCGUUGGAUUGGGGUAAGCUAACUUGGUCUAAAUACAUUCCUCCGUUGUUGGCUGAUUUCAGGCAGCGGAAGACUCCUCGCAUCAUUAAAGUUAAUUGGCAUCCUCCGUUAUUUGGUUGAAUCAAGAUAAACACAGAUGGAGCAUGGAAAAGUGACUUGGGAAAAGUAGAUUAUGGUGGCUUGUUUUGGGACUAUAAAGGUGUUGUUUUGGGUGCUUUUUGCUCCAAUUUGGAUAUGCCUAGUUCUGUUGCAGCGGAGUUCAUGGCGGUUAUUAAAGCAAUAGAAUUAGCAUGGGUCCGAGAUUGGAAAUUCAUAUGGUUGGAAGUGGACUCUACACUUGUUCUCAAUUUUUUUCAAUCUCCUCAUCUUGUACCUUGACAACUUCAUGUGGAAUGGGGUAAUUGUUUGCAUCAUAUUUCUCAAAUGCAAUUUCAUUCUACUCAUAUAUUUCAUGAAGGGAAUCAAGCCGUAGAUUCACUAGCAAAUUUUGGAACUACUUCUCAGGUUUAGUUUGGCCGGAUUUGGCUACGCCUAUCAUUCAUAGUUUUUGUAAUCGGGACCGAAUGGGUCUUCCUAAUUUCCGUUUCUGUUGACGUUGUCUAGAGGUUUGGUACCCCCUCUCUGUAUUUAUUUUUUAUUCAAUAACUUUUCCUCGUUU